rnacentral:rRNA from 1 species
CCCUUAGAUGUUCUGGGCCGCACGCGCGCUACACUGAUGCAUUCAACGAGCACUCGCUUGGCCGAGAGGUCAGGCUAAUCUUUGAACGUGCAUCGUGCUGGGGAUAGAUGAUUGCAAUUAUUCAUCUUCAACGAGGAAUUCCUAGUAAACGCAAGUCAUCAGCUUGCAUUGAUUACGUCCCUGCCCUUUGUACACACCGCCCGUCGCACCUACCGAUUGAAUGGUCCGGUGAAGCCUCCGGAUUGGCGCGCACCUCGGUGCCGCCGAGAAGUUGGCUAAACCUUACCAUUUAGAGGAAGGUGAAGUCGUAACA